rnacentral:lncRNA from 13 species
AGUAGCGAAUAGUAUGGAAGGCUUGUUUGAGGAGCUAGUGAGGCUGAAGGUCCACAGUGUCCCAGUAUCGGAUGAAGGAGUUCCUGGAGUCCCUGUCCAACAAGAGCUCAGAGGCACUGCAGGAGUUCAACCAGCAAGCAGGUGUUAUCACUACAACCACCACCAUGGUUUACCAGCAGGGGGUCAACUGCAUCUACACAGACAGCAACGAGGUGGCUGGGUCACUGCUGGAACUGUCUGUCUGCAACAGCAGGUACAGGUGUCCCAGCAGAAGGUGAUGUCAUGACAGCAGCAGCUCUCGCCCCAUAUGACCACAGCCGCAAGGGCAAGACAUAAUACAGACAAAUGACCUAGGAAGAGCUCACAGUGACAAGAAGCAGAGGUCCUCGGGGGACAGGAUCGUCCUUCCGUCCAGUCUAAAGGAUGAGGGUGGACAGGCAUCACACAUGAAAGUGUGUGAAGAGGUGCAGGAAGAAAAUGCAGAGGCUGUGAAAACCCCAUCUGUCUGUGAACCACUGAUUCUUCAGGAUAUUGAGGACUUGGAGGAGUCUACUGUAAAGGAAAGUCCAGUUCCUCCAAAGGACACUGAAGAUACAGAUAAGGCUUCAACCGAGGGCCAACAACUGGUAGAGGAACACAACCCUGACAUCCUCCUACCUCACCCUGUUGAUGCCCUGGAGAAUGCCUAUGUGAACACCCCCCCUGUUUGUGAACCACUGAUUAUUGAGGACUUGGAGGACUCUCCUGACAAGGAAUAUCCAGCUCCCCGAAAGACUGAGGAUGUAGAAUGUGCUUCAGCACAGGGCCAAGAACAGAUCCAGGUAGAUAAGGACCGAGAUAAGGACAAAGACCAUGAUAUGCCCCUCCCUUGCUGCUUAGAUAACCUGAAGAAGCGCUUCUACCAGAGCAGGGACCGCCAGAUCAGGGAAAGACACUGGGCCCAGUUCAGAGCAGAGACCCUGAGGGUGGCCCACCAAGGGAUAGUUGUCCUGCAACGUGACCUGGAGCUGGAGCUGGAGCGGGUUAGAGAGGGCCUAGAGGAUAGACGGCAGCGCAGAGAGAGGGACCAUUACACUCUGGCCCAAGUGAAGAGAGAGAGACAGAAAAAGAGAGAAGAGCAGAUAAAAGGAUGGAUGGAAAAGUGGAUGAUAGGGAGGGAAGAGGAGAGCCAGGGGGAAGAAGGUGCGGAAGAGGGGGAGACAGAGGAAGAGGAGAAAGAGGGAGAGGAGGAAAGUGAAAAGGAAGAGGAGAGUGAGGAUGAAGAGGGUGAUACAGAGGGAGCGGAAGAGAAGGAGAAAGAGGAGAAGGUGGAGGAGGGAGACAGGGAGGGGAGUGAAGAGGAGAGUGAGGAGGAUGAAGAGAGCGAGGAGGAGGAUGGCAUAGAGACUAUCUGCAAGGAGGUGAAGAUGCAGAUGCACUUGAUCAAGGGCGACAUUGAGCAUGAUAUGAAGAAUGACUAUGAGCAGAACAAGAAUAGGGAAGUCCAGGACCGGAAGAUGUUGACCACCCUGCUGCAGUGCUUGGAGUCAGUCUACCAGACACGCACUGAGGAGAUACUGGGCAAGAUAGGCAUGCUGUGGGACAUCAUGAUCAACAACAUGCUCCAGGACCUCCAUGGAAGGAGAGCAGCCCAGAAGUCAGUGUCUGCCCAGACUGCGCAGUAUCUCCACUUCUGCCACAGUCCCCGUCUGGCCCCCAUUACCCCUCUGACUGAUGCGGGCAGGAGGCUCCUCAAGGGAUGGGCAAGAGGCCAACAGGUGGGUGAUGAUGGGAACAUGGCGAUGACUUGACAGUUCAGUUAUAUGAUGGGAAUAUGUUUCACCAUUGUUUCUUCAUAUAAAACUAUAACUCAAACAUACACUGAACAUAAAUAUAAACACAACUUGUGUUUGGUCCCAUAUUUCAUGAGCUGAACUAAAAUAUCCCCAACAUUUUCCAUACGCACGAAAAGCUUAUUUCUGUCAAAUGUUGUGCACAGAUUUGUUUGCAUACCUGUUAGUGAGCAUUUCUCCUUUGCCAAGAUAUUCGAUCCACCUGACAGAUGUGGCAUAUCAAGAAGUGGAUUAAUCUACCAAAUGCUACCUCCAACGUUGUUUUAAAGAAUUUGGCAGUACGUCAAACCAGCCUCACAACUGCAUGGCGUCGUGUGGGCGAGCGGUUUGCUGUGCCCCAUGGUGGCGGUGGGGCUAUAUGUGCAGGCAUAAGCUACGCACAAUGAACACAAUUGCAUUUUAUCAAUGGCAAUUUCAAUAUACAGACAUACCGAUCAUGAGGCCCAUUGUUGUGCCCUUCAUCCGCCGCCAUCACCUCAUGAUUCGGCAGGGUAGCCUAGUGGUUAGAGCGUUGGACUAGUAACCGGAAGGUUGCGAGUUCAAACCCCCGAGCUGACAAGGUACAAAUCUGUCGUUCUGCCCCUGAACAGGCAGUUCCCAGGCCGUGCACUGUUCCCAGGCCGUCAUUGAAAAUAAGAAUUUGUUCUUAACUGACUUGCCUGGUUAAAUAAAGGUAAAAUAAAAAAAAAUAAAAAAAAUUCAGCAUGAUAAUGCACUGCCCCAUAUCGUAAGGAUCUGCACACAAUUCCCGGAAGCUGAAAAUGGCCCAGUUCUUCCAAGCUCUGGAUCGACGUGUACGACACCGGGUUCCAGUUCCCGACAAUAUCCAACAUUCCACAGGCCACAAUCAACAGCCUGAUCAAUUCUAUGCGAAGGAUAUACAGUUGAAGUCGGAAGUUCACAUACACUUAGGUUGGAGUCAUUAAAACUUGUUUUUCAACCACUCCUCAAAUUUCUUGUCAACAAACUAGAGUUUUGUCAAGUCAACAAUUGUUUACAGACAGAUUAUUUCACUUAUAAUUCACUGUAUCACAAUUCCAGAAGUUUACAUACACUAAGUUGAAAAUUACAGAAAAUGAUGUCAUGGCUUUAGAAGCUUCUGAAAGGCUAAUUGACAUAAUUUGAGUCAAUUGGAGGUGUACCUGUGGAUGUAUUUCAAGGUCUACCUUCAAACUCCGUGCCUCUUUGCUUGACAUCAUGGGAAAAUCUAAAGAAAUCAGCCAAGACCUCAGGAAAAAAAUUGCAGACCUCCACAAGUCUGGUUCACCCUUGGGAGCAAUUUCCAAAUGCCUGAAGGAACCACGUUCAUCUGUACAAACAAUAGCACGCAAGUCUAAACACCAUGGGACCACGCAGCUGUCAUACUCCUCAGGAAGGAUAUGCGUUCUGUCUCCUAGAGAUGAACGUACAUUGGUGCGAAAAGGGCAAAUCAAUCCCAGAACAACAGCAAAGGACCCUGUGAAGACGCUGGAGGAAACAGGUAUCUAUAUCCACAGUAAAACAAGUCAUAUAUCGAUAUUACUUGAAUAGCCGCUCUGCAAGGAAAAAGCCACUGCUCCAAAACUGUCAUAAAAAUUUCAGACUACGGUUUGCAACUGCACAUGGGGACAAAGAUCCUACUUUUUGGAGACACUGUAUGUCCUCUGGUCCGAUUAAACAAAAAUAGAACUGUUUGGCCAUAAUGACCAUCAUUAUGUUUGGAGGAAAAAGGGGAGGCUUGCAAGCUGAAGAGCACCAUCCCAACCGUGAAGCACGGGGGUGGCAGCAUCAUGUUGUGGGGGUGCUUUGUUGCAGGAGGGACUCGUGCACUUCACAAAAUAAAAAAUACGUGGGUAUAUUGAAGCAACAUUUCAAGACAUCAGUCAGGAAGUUAAAGCUUGGUUGCAAAUGGGUCUUCCAAAUGGACAAUGACCCCAAGCAUACUUCCAAAGUUGAGGCAAACUGGCUUAAGGACAACAAAGUCAAGGCAUUGGAAUGGCCAACACAAAGCCCUGACCUCAAUCCUAUAGACAUUUUGUGGGCAGAACUGAAAAAGCGUGUGUGAGCAAGGAGGCCUACAAACCUGACUCUGUUACACCAGCUCUGUCAGGAGGAAUGGGCCAAAAUUCACCCAACUUAUUACGGGAAGUUUGUGGAAGGCUACCCAAAACAUUUGACCCAAGUUAAACAAUUUAAAGGCAAUGCUACCAAAUACUAAUUGAGUGUAUGUAAACUUCUGACCCACUGGGAAUGUGAUGAAAGAAAUAAAAGCUGAAAUAAAUUGUUCUCUCUACUAUUAUUCUGACAUUUUGCAUUCUUAAAAUAAAAUGGUGAUCCUAACUGACCUAAGACAGGGAAUUUUUACUAGGAUGGAUUACAUGUCAGGAAUUGUGAAAAACUGUAUUUGGCUAAGGUGUAUGUAAACUUUAUGACACUGCAUGAUGCAAAUGGUGGUCACACCAGAUACUAACUGGUUUUCUGACCCACGCCCCUACCUUAAAAAGCAUUAUCUGUGACCAACAGAUGCAUAUCUGUAUUCUCAGUCAUGUGAAAUCCAAAGAUUGGGGCCUAACGAAUUGAUUUCAAUUGACUGAUUUACUUAUAAUGUGUGAACUGUAAAUCAGUCGAAUGUUAGAAAUUGUUGAAUGUUGCAUUUAUAUUUUUGUUCAGUAUAGUUACAUAGGUAGUGUAUAGACUGUAUAGACCUGUUACAACUUAGACAUCUAGGUGUCAGUCACUACAAUAACCUCCAUCUACCAAUCUUAGGAUGACGAGGCAAAGAAGACUGGCAAAGGGAAAGGGAAGAAGAAAAAGAAGAAGACACAGAGAGAACAAGUGAAGGAUGAGGAGAAAGACAGUCAGUUGCUGCAGAAGGAGGAAAUGGUGGAAAGUAAGCCAGAAGAGAAUAAAAAGUCAGGGUAAGUGCAGUAAUGAAUUGAUGGAUGAAUGAGAGCCAGAGAGCGAGAGAGAAAAAUAAUGUCGGUUAUCAUAAGUAUAUGAUGAAUGGAAUAUAUUGCCUAUGUACAGUAUGUUGUCUAUAUAUGAUAACUAUAUUGUAUUUUAAAUCACAGGUUUCUCCAAUUGCUGCUGCUCAAACUGACAUGCAUUCAAUGAUGACAAAAUAUUUAGAAAAAAUAAAGUUUGAAACCAGCUUGAUUUUGUUUUUGAUUUUGAUAAUCUUUGGUUUAUCCAUCUGGGUUUCACCCAAUGAUUGCAUAUAAACUCUGGAUUACUGAUACUAUGUAUUGGCCAAUGAGAGGCUUUAAAGCCACCGGUCAGCCAUAUUGGUGCUCCCCAGAAGAAGCAGUCCUCCAUAUGAAUGAAUGGAAUUAUACAGUAUUUCAAUUAAAUGUUCUAAAGACACAUUUGUUGAUGUAGUGGGAACAGUAACAGAACUUAAAAAAAUAUAUACUUAAAGGAAAAUGUUAAUAUAGUUUUCAAUUUUAUGUUCAGUUUAUAUAAUACAAUUUUAAAGUGUGCAUUAAUGUGUCUGUACUAGAAUAAAACUGGCAAAAACAAAUGUAGAUGUUAAUAAAUUGAUUUUUAUAGCUUCCAAAAUAAAAAAAAACACAGUGGAGGAGUGCCAAAUAGGAGGCUGGCUUCAACACAGCGCCUCCUGUUAGGUAUCUAGUAGUAGUGCAUUCUGAGAGUAUUGAGACCCCUCCACUUUUUCCACAUUUUGUUACGUUACCGCCUUAUUUUAAAAUGGAUUUAAAAAAUCAAUCAAUCAAUACAAUAUACCCCAGUAGAAAGAAGAAGAGGAGGAAGCACUGCUAUAAGGUACACAAUAGUAUAUUUUGGUAGAUAGAAGGGGCUCUUUGGUAAAAGGGGUAAAUUGGUUAUCCAAAAGAAAGGAGGACCAAGGCACUCUUCAUAUAAGUAAUUUAAAUGCCUUUAUUUGUAUGGCAUGUUCAAAAACAAAGUUUUUAAAAUCCGAUGCGUUUUGGCUGCAUGGCCUUCCUCAGGGAGUACAAAGAAAUUAUAAUACAAUGUCCUCUUUUGAACAGCGUUUUCCAAUCGGCCCUAAUUUGAAGAGGGAGUGGUUACAAAAUUGAUUGGACAACACCUAGUAAGUAAUACAAAACACAUUAAAAAGUGAAAUUCUGAAGAUAUGUUAUCAAAAAAUUCAACUCCAAGCUAGAAGCAUCAGAAUGCCUUGAAAGGUAGUUCUGACCUUAAAUAUGACUGGGAAAAGUGCCAAGAAUAGGAGAGCCAUCUAUUCCAUAGUACACUAGAACACAGCAAACAUAGCUGAGGGCAAUAGAGCAAAAUGUCCACUCGAUGACAGCAAAGGGACCUAUCACAACCCUACAGGAAAGGUGAGAAAUUCAUAUCUUCAUUUAAACCAGGCAUUUUUUUAUAUUAUGUUGCUUUACAACCUCAAAUUAAAAUACAUUUUUGGGGGGUUUGAAUCAUUUGAUUUACACAACAUGCCUACCACUUUCAAGAUGCAAAAUAUUUUUUAUUGUGAAAUAAGACAAAAAAAACGGAUAACUUGAACGUGCAUAAUUAUUCA